rnacentral:rRNA from 1 species
CAGUAGCCGCGGUAAUACGUAGGUGGCGAGCGUUGUCCGGAAUUAUUGGGCGUAAAGCGCGCGCAGGCGGUUUCUUAAGUCUGAUGUGAAAGCCCCCGGCUUAACCGGGGAGGGUCAUUGGAAACUGGGAGACUUAGAGUGCAGAAGAGGAGAGUGGAAUUCCAUGUGUAGCGGUGAAAUGCGUAGAUAUAUGGAGGAACACCAGUGGCGAAGGCGACUCUCUGGUCUGUAACUGACGCUGAGGCGCGAAAGCGUGGGGAGCAAACAGGAUUAGAGACCCCGGUAGUCCCUGUCUCUUAUA